GAUGAAGAACGUAGUGAAAUGCGAUACUUGGUGUGAAUUGCAGAAUCCCGUGAACCAUCGAGUCUUUGAACGCAAGUUGCGCCCGAAGCCAUUAGGCCGAGGGCACGCCUGCCUGGGUGUCACACGUCGUUGCCCCCCCAUCUACUCCUUCGGGAUUGCGGGGGGCGGAUGAUGGCCUCCCGUGCGCCUCGUCGCGCGGUUGGCAUAAAUGCCAAGUCCUCAGCGACGCACGCCACGACAAUCGGUGGUUGCGAAACCUCGGUUGCCCGUCGUGUGCGGUCGUCGCGCAUCGAGGGCUCGAAAAAAUUGCCGGGCUCCGGCUCGGCUUUCAACGCGACCCCAGGUCAGGCGGGGUUACCCGCUGAAUUUAAGCAUAUCAAUAAGCGGAGGA
rnacentral:misc_RNA from 1 species